ACGCACAUAUCAGAUUGAAACAUCGGUUCCCGUACGAUCGCUAAAGUUAAGCAACGUCGAGCCUGGUCAGUACCUAGAUGGGUGACCGCUGGGGAUUACCAGGUGUUGUAAG
rnacentral:rRNA from 1 species